rnacentral:tRNA from 1 species
GUCCCUGUAGCGCAAUUUAUAGCGCGUUGGACUUCUAAUCCAAAUGUUGUUGGUUCGAAUCCUACCAGGGACG